UGGCCCACACCUUGACUGUGGCCUGGCAGAGGACCCAGCUAACCUGUGCCUGGACUCCGCACCCACAAAAACUGUGAAAUACAAAAUGUGAGUUAUUUUACGCCACUAGGUUUGUGGUAAUUCGGUAUAAAGCGCCAGACCAAGAGGGGAACUUUUGUUGCCAGUGGGCUCUGGCGAGAUUAGGGGCGGUCAGUGAAGGAGCCCAUCUCUUGGAGAAAGGGGCGAGGACCGGAAAGGGUGGAGAAGUCUGAAAGUCAGGUCGGGAGGCUGGCGACAGUGGGAGCGAAGCCUGGAGGCUGACUGUGGGCAGAUGCGACUGUGAGAUAAAGGCACGACGUUCCAGAACCAGACCUGGGCCGCAGAUCAGGAAGGGGGCGGGGGGCGAUGGAAGCUCAAGGCAGGACUCUGUAUGACUCCCGGCUCUUCCACUCAACUAGCUUAUAUCCUAUAGAGCCUCGGUUUUCUCAUCUGUAAAACGGCUGUGACUAUACCUUUCCAAAGAGAUGACGCACAGAGAAAGUGCUUGUCGGUGGAGCACUGGCCUGAAAGCAACCUUCACAGGAAUGAGGGGCACGAGAGACUCAGCGUGGGCUCUCUGGGCGCUCGAACCUUAAGUGGGGAGAGAAGACAGUCUGGACGAAGAAGCGGAGAAGGGCUCUCAGGCAGAGAGGCGGGGAGCGGGGAUCACAGGGUCCAGAGGUUCCGGGAGGCGGUGCAAGGAGGGAGGGGCAGUGGUAAGCCUCACCACGUACCCUGGAGAGGUUCAGAGGAUGCUGCUGUUUCACCUGGGCCAUGACCAUUCUCCAUCCUGGUGGAACAGCACCCUGAUUUUCCUUUGCCAGGACCUCCCCGCUCUCAGUCCAGUGUCUGGCCCUAACUCUGGCCACUGAGGGCAUGCCCCACAGCAGGGACGGUUGCUGGGAGACAAGGAAAGUGGAGUGGGGGAGGGGAGAAGAGGGGACUAAAAUAUUAGCGACGAUCAUAAAACGGGAGCGUGGCCUCACGUGGCCACUGAAGACGGUGUGGCCCAGGUGAAGGGCUGGAUUAACCCAACCUCCUGAGCUGAGGCCCAGCCCCCUCCGCCUGCCACCCCACAAAGAGACGUGCCGGGUCCCUAAUUCCGC
rnacentral:lncRNA from 1 species